rnacentral:tRNA from 3 species
AGAGGAGUGGUAGAGUGGUUUAUUGCACCGGUCUUGAAAACCGGAGACCGUUCACGCGGUCCGGGGGUUCGAAUCCCUCCUCCUCUGCCA